rnacentral:rRNA from 1 species
GACGAACGCUGGCGGCGUGCUUAACACAUGCAAGUCGAACGAAGUGGCGAACGGGUGAGUAACGCGUAAUCAACCUGCCCUCCAGAGGGGGACAACAGUUGGAAACGACUGCUAAUACCGCAUACUGAAGGAGGGGCUUGCGUCUGAUUAGCUAGUUGUAGGGGUAACGGCCCCCCAAGGCGAUGAUCAGUAGCCGGUAUGAGAGGAUGAACGGCCAAAUUGGGAAGGAGACACGGCCCAGAUUCCUACGGGAGGCAGCAGUGGGGAAUCGUCCGCAAUGGAGGAAAGUCUGACGGAGCAACACCGGGUGAGUGGUGACGGCCUUCGGGUUGUAAGGCUCUGUUAGGCGGGACGCGGUACCGAAAUAGAAAGCCACGGCUAACUACGUGCCAGCAGCCGCGGUAAUUC